CUUUUAUUAAGGUAGCCGUAGGGGAACCUGCGGCUGGAUCACCUCCUUUCUAAGGAGCUGUGGCUUUUCCCAAAGCCAUGAUUCCUAGGUCAAUCCUCAUGAGUCUCCCUCAUGAGGCCUUUAUCUCCCCUAGCUAAACUCCCCUAACCCUCACGCUACUAUUUAGUUUUGAAGGACCACGGAUCAGCGAAGGUUUGGCGCUUUUCAGUCGUAUAAAAAGACGUUCAAAAGCUUUGAUGAUCUCUUGGACUUCACCGCAAAUCGAAUUUUUGAUUUGCGUUUUGUUCUUUGACAACUGAAUACCGGAAAGAGAGUGCCAGAAAGGAAAGCGCGCUUGGUAGCGACGGUGAAUGUGGUCAAGCUACUAAGGGCAUACGGUGGAUACCUAGGCACACAGAGA
rnacentral:sRNA from 1 species